GACAUGGCAUCCGGUGUUAUCCUCAUAAAUGUGGAGGAUCCACAACCCCAACCUAAUAUAGGAGACGAUAACGGGUGGAUUUUCGUAAGCGACGAUGACAAGAGGAGAUGAUGUCGCAGAGAGGUUGGCAUGAUGAAACGGUCAUUGGCGAUAGCAUGUAAGGAAGAAGACGACAAGAAUAGAUAGUAUGAAAGGGGGAGGGCCAGUGCGUGACUCGAGGACGUGAUGACGGAUUCAUCACAUGCAUCUACAAAAAGGACAACAAGUGGUUUGGUAUGCUCACAUAGAGAAAAAGGUAUAUGUCUCUCCCGUGGCAACGGGCACUCAACUAGUCUGUACUAUUAAAGAGGGAUCGAACGUUCGACCUCGUUCGACCACCUGGUUCGAUCCCCGGCCUCCCCACCUCCCUUUGUACGUCAACCCUCGCGGCAGGGCCACGCCCGCAGCAACCCUUUACUCCCGUCGAAAAAAAAGGAAAAAGGACAAUGGGGGAGAUGGAAACAACCGCCCCUGCGGCAACCACGAUACAUACCACGCCCAAUCUCCCCCAACCCCCUCGGAGAAAAAUCGCCCCCACUUCCACAUCUCGGCCGAGAAAAAUCGCCGCCCCAAGCCCCCAACACUCCUGCCGCGAUUGGGGUCUCCGGUGUAGGAGGAGCUGCAGCCCGCGGCGGCUCUUCUCCCCUGCACCCCGAGCUCCAAUGGCCUCACUCUGGGAGCCGAAGCAGUCAAGGCGUGGUGGUCUCAAGCACAGCGACGCCGAUCCUGAUAGCGCCCUGGCCACGACGCCGACGGCACGCCCUCACGACGGUCAUGCACAUGAGCGAUAGGAGAGGGUGGCACCAACUAUGGCUGCGGCACCGAUGAGUUCGCAAGACGAGCCCUGCUGCAUCGACGAGCCCUGCGCGGCAUCGGCAAGACCGGUAUAGGUUGCCGCACCGGCGAGCUCUGUGGUACAUGCGACCAUGCCGGCGCAGUUCCUCAAGAUUGGAUGUGUGCACUCUUGCAGGCUGGUGAUGACAACCAUCUUGGACGCCUUCUUCGAGGACCUCGGCUUGCUUAAGGCGAUGAUUGAUCGUCCGACUUACUCUGGUUGUGGCAUAGCAUGCACACUAGGUGUUUGUUCAUUUGUUUGUGCUGCCUUUGAUAGGUUCCCUGCCUGUCGAUUUUUUUUUCUCUGCCGAGAAGUGCAUAUUGUUGAUUGGUCCGGCUUACAAAGAGGAGUACCAGCUUCCCGAGUCUCUUACAGAAGCACUAAUUUAAUUCCAACAGAUUGAAUACGAGGAGCAUGCCCAUGGACAAUUUCAUGUAUGUGUAUUGCCAUUGUGAUACAAGGUUAAGUGUGUAAUAUUUUUAGAUGGUCAAAGCAUGACUGCAUGAGUAUAACCAACUACAUCAGCCAUGAGGGUCUUCAGGUCUGCUCUAAAAUUAGACCUUGUAGUUAUUCUAAAUUGAUAAUGCUGGCAUGUAUGUGGAAUCAAAAAUCAUAGCUUGAAUUGCUUCUGAAGCAUAGUAUUGUCUUCCAAUUCUAUAAUAUUUAUUUCCUAUGCCGAUA